GCACUUUUGCGCAUGUAUUUUUACAUGUACGUUUGUACAUGUCCAUUUGAGCGAGUGUGCUUGUGCAUGUUUGUUGAUUUGUAUUAAUGUCCUAGGAUUGUAGUUUGUGUUUUCAUCAUGCUUUUUGCGAAUGCACUUUUGCGUGAGUACUUUUGUGCAUGCUUUUGUACUCUUACUUAUGUGCGUAUCUUUCUAGCGAGUGUUUUUGUGCACGUUUCUUGAUGAAAAUUCAUGUCCUCGAACUGUAGUACGAUUACUAGAAAAUGACGAUUUAGCGACGAACUUUUGUGAUGGAAUAUAGAUCCGUUUCAAAAUUGACCAGUUAGCUUCGGAAUUUGUGACGGACUAUAAAUCCG
rnacentral:lncRNA from 1 species